AGGAAUGGCUCUCUAUUUUUGGCGGAACAGGAAGGGAGCAAGCAUGAAACAGUGAGAUCGUUCGGAAUGGUGGUUCUGCAACAAUACAGCAUUUCUUUGUCCUAGGUUUGUUAAUGGAAUUGGAAAAGAGAUGUUGGUGUUGUCCCUGUCUAAUAGAUGACACAAUGUACAGGUUGGUCUGGGCUGGAGCAUUGGAGCUCUUGCGCGGCUGCGCCCCAAAGUCGUGUAAAUGGCUUCUACUGGUUCUUGCGAACGCAACACAGCUUGCUUGCUCUCAAACACGUGUAGAGUUUCUCCUCUUUCAUUCUAUGGCUGAUCGCUGGCAAAGCUCUGAAAUCAUUUGGAUUGUGGUUUUCAAGCUAUGGUAUCAGGAAGGACUUAUGUUGAGGUAAAUAAUUCCACUAUUUAGUUAUCUUUCUUUGUUUGUGCAAAGAUCAUUCUAAUACAAAAUGUCAGCUUAUGCUAAAUACAAUUUCAUGUACUAACCAGUCUGUCCGCACAUAUAUAGAUAUUUGUGCCUAUUUGCUGCAGCUUGAAUUGAAAGUAGUAAGACUCUAAGUAUAUACAAAUUAUUACAACUUUGGGUGUAUAAUUCUUUGGCAAGGAUAUUGUAUUUUUUGAACCACUCCCAUAAAUUUCUUUUGAAGAAAAGAUGGAGAAUUAUGCAAUUUUACACACUCAAACGGUGGAGUAGAGUAAGUUGCACCAAAUGAAACUUUAUAAAUGUUAGUAACGCUAAAGUACCAAAUAAAUAAAGAUACACUGUGUCUUGCGGACAUAUUAGUUAUUUGCUUCCUUUCCUAAUCAUGGAAUAGAUAAUGGCUUCAAAUUCAAGGAAAAUAUGGCGAGUCUUGCUCCAACCAUUUGCUAGCACUAAUGACUGUGUCUGCACAAGCCUUGAGCUUCACAUAAGGACACACUAUAGUUCAUAUCUUUGGUCAUUUAUGCAAAAAUCAUGUGAUGCUCCUGUGUGGGUUUUAUAUGGUUCAAGUUAAACGAUGUGACAGUUUGCAAUGUGUUGAGACACACUGCUGGUUAUUAAGAUCAUUUGCGACAUCAAUAAUAUGAUAUAGCUGAGGUACUAGAUCACGUGCUUUCAUUCUAUGAUUGUUUGGCGAUGAAUACAUUUUUUCGUAUUGUUGAUUGGUUUAGAAUUGUAAGAGACAUCGGUGUUUGUAUACUGUGGCAAAGCUUUCUUCUUGUGAAACUUACAUAAAUAUAUUAUUUUGAAGUUAUAAGGCUUGGAUAAAUCAAAGAUACAUCAGUUUCUUAGGUUUUAACCUUUUGAUUUGCCAGUCAAAAUCUUGAAGUAUACUUCCAUCUGAGAUAUAAAUAAUCUAAAUCACUUGGGACAUUUACAAAUAAUGCGGUUCUGCCACGUCGGUUUGAUAGUUGGUGCGUUGUAAAAAUGUGUGCCUUCGAUGUGUAUAUCGCCAGGAGAUUACUGUCAUGUCGCUGUCUGUCCCGGUGUAGUACUGGACAAACUACGUCAACAUUUGCCUCUAGAAGGAGGCAACUUACUGUUUUGCAGGAUAUUGACAUGGCUCUUUGAUCACAUCUCCUGCUAUUUUCAAACAUUUAUAAGGCAAGCAAUCUGCUCUGUUCUAAACAGUGUCUUUGAGUACCUGCUAAAUGGAACUCUUUACGAGCAUGUUCAAGGUAAGAUGGGAACCAUCGUGCGUCUGCUUGUAUGAUGACAUUGGACUGAAAAACUAUUUGCUUUCAUCAUGCGUCUCUGGGUUUCAGAUGGGGAAGGAUGUCAGCUAUGUUGGCCCUGUCGGGUGGAGAUUGUGCGCAUUCUAAGUCACUUGCAAACUGACCUGCAGCUUCCAUUCGCCGUCGCCGCUGAAUCAUGCUUUCAUGUACAGAGUGACUAUUAUUUUUCUUCUUAAUACUGAGAGCAUUGUUAAUCUGCAGUUUGCACGUGGAGAAAUAAUGCUUAGUUUGAUGUUAGUCUCUUUUACAAAUAUGUCUGUCAUUCUAUUGAAUGUGUUAUAAUGACACACUUGCUGAAGCAGCUGCACUUAAUAUUCAGGUGAUCAUAAUCAUGUUUGUUUCUGUAUUUUGAUGUCAUGAUCUGUGCUAGAUGUAAACAUGAGUUCUGCAUAUUUAGUAAAGAAGAUAAUAGAGACGAACUAGAAAACUUCGGUCUUGCUAAAUGGAAGGCUGACAAUGCUAAAGCUGGGGAAUACUGCUAUGGACAAACUCUGUAAAUCCCAUGCUACUGUUAACUCUUUUUCAUAAUGUGCUACCCUUCUGCUCUUGUAUUUCUAACAAUGCCAAGAUUUUUUUGUAAUGUCCAUUGUAAAAAUACUUGGCAUAUUUUCUCUUAGAAUGGACGUAUGCUUUUCCCUUCACAGUUUUGUUUUGCUGACGAAGCUUAGGUAAUGUAUUUUCCGGGUACACUCCUGGAAACCUGUAUUCCAGAA